rnacentral:rRNA from 1 species
CCAAUAGCGUAUAUUAAAGUUGUUGCAGUUAAAAAGCUCGUAGUUGAAUUUCGGGACCAAUAUGUCGGUCGUGCUUCGGUACGUACUUGCAUCAUUGGUUUCUCCCUUCUGAGGAACCAUGAUGUCAUUAAUUUGGUGUCGUGGGAAAUCAGGACUGUUACUUUGAAAAAAUUAGAGUGUUUAAAGCAGGCUCGCGCUUGAAUACAUUAGCAUGGAAUAAUGAAAUAGGACGUUUGAUUCUAUUUUGUUGGUUUCUAGGAUCUACGUAAUGAUUAAUAGGGAUAGUUGGGGGCAUUAGUAUUCAAUUGUCAGAGGUGAAAUUCUUGGAUUUAUUGAAGACUAACUACUGCGAAAGCAUUUGCCAAGGAUGUUUUCAUUAAUCAAGAACGAAAGUUAGGGGAUCAAAGACGAUCAGAUACCGUCGUAGUCUUAACCAUAAACUAUGCCGACUAGGGAUCGGAUGAUGUUAAUUUUUUAAUGACUCAUUCGGCGCCUUACG